rnacentral:tRNA from 1 species
GGAGCCGUGGUGUAGUUGGUUAACACGCCGGCCUGUCACGCCGGAGAUCGCGGGUUCGAGUCCCGUCGGUUCCGCCA